AUUGAACGCUGGCGGCAGGCCUAACACAUGCAAGUCGAGCGGAUGAAGGGAGCUUGCUCCUGGAUUCAGCGGCGGACGGGUGAGUAAUGCCUAGGAAUCUGCCUGGUAGUGGGGGAUAACGUCCGGAAACGGGCGCUAAUACCGCAUACGUCCUGAGGGAGAAAGUGGGGGAUCUUCGGACCUCACGCUAUCAGAUGAGCCUAGGUCGGAUUAGCUAGUUGGUGGGGUAAAGGCCUACCAAGGCGACGAUCCGUAACUGGUCUGAGAGGAUGAUCAGUCACACUGGAACUGAGACACGGUCCAGACUCCUACGGGAGGCAGCAGUGGGGAAUAUUGGACAAUGGGCGAAAGCCUGAUCCAGCCAUGCCGCGUGUGUGAAGAAGGUCUUCGAAUUGUAAAGCACUUUAAGUUGGGAGAAAGGGCAGUAAGUUAAUACCUUGCUGUUUUGACGUUACCAACAGAAUAAGCACCGGCUAACUUCGU
rnacentral:rRNA from 1 species